rnacentral:rRNA from 1 species
GCCUAUGCAUAAAUCCCCUAAAGACUCCAGAUCCUCUCUGAUCUUGGAAGCUUAACAGGGUAACCCUGAUUAGUUCUUGGAUGGGAGAUCAUCAAUGAAUACCAGGUGCUAUAAGCU